rnacentral:rRNA from 1 species
GAUUAACGCUGGCGGCGUGCCUAACACAUGCAAGUCGAGCGGCAGCGAGUUUUACACUGAAUUCUGGAAGCUUCUAGUUGAAAGAGAAGAUUUAUUCAAGAAUUUUGUGUAAAAUGUCGGCGAGCGGCGGACGGCUGAGUAACGCGUGGGAACGUACCCCAAAGUGAGGGAUAACGCAUCGAAAGGUGUGCUAAUACCGCAUAUGGUCUUCGGAUUAAAGCCUUCGGGCGCUUUGGGAACGGCCUGCGUAAGAUUAGAUAGUUGGUGGGGUAAUGGCCUACCAAGUCGACGAUCUUUAACUGGUUUGAGAGGAUGAUCAGUCAGACUGGAACUGAGACACGGUCCAGACUCCUACGGGAAGCAGCAGUGAGGAAUCUUCCACAAUGGGCGAAAGCCUGAUGGAGCAACGCCGCGUGCAGGAUGAAGGCCUUCGGGUUGUAAACUGCUUUUAUAAGUGAGGAUUAUGACAGUAACUUAUGAAUAAGGAUCGGCUAACUACGUG